AACUUUAAUUGAGACGAUGACAAGGACGAGCUCACAUGAACCCAACCAGAUAAUUUGUGGGCCCCGACCCAACGAGCGAAUGAACUCGGAAGAAAGUCUAAAAGAGAAUAACUAGGAUGAAAUUUACCUAACUUAAAAAAAAAAGAAGAUUCCACCCACUUAGACAAAUUACCCACGUACCUUGUCUCUUUCCCUCUCCCUCUCACACACAGACACAAAGAAGAGAGAAGAAAGAGGCGGCUUUUGAAUCUGACUACUCCGGAAUGGGUGAUAAUUAAUGAGAGUCAUCACGGAACGACGACAAAAACAAAAAAAAUAAUUAUAUAUUUUUUUUCUUUCAACCCUAGCCAGUCACACUAAUAACUACGCUUUUUGGGUCCUAUCUGAUUAGAUCUAUGCUGGGUCCUAAAUCAUGAAUUUCUUCUCAGAUGGACGUGGCUUCAACGAUCAAGGCCCAUUUUCUCAUCCUGAUUUCUCCCAUCAGCAAAGAAGCACCACUAAUAGUAGUGAUAUGGCAGAUGAAGUGGGUGAAAGUAACACGAUUGAACGAGAACACAUGUUCGACAAGGUAGUCACUCCCAGUGACGUCGGCAAGCUCAAUCGGUUAGUCAUCCCCAAACAGCACGCAGAAAAGUAUUUUCCUCUGGAUUCCUCUACCAACGAGAAAGGCCUCCUUCUCAAUUUCGAAGACACGAACGGAAAGCCUUGGCGCUUCAGGUAUUCCUAUUGGAAUAGCAGUCAAAGCUAUGUAAUGACCAAAGGUUGGAGCCGCUUCGUCAAGGAGAAGAAGCUCGAUGCUGGGGAUAUUGUCUCAUUUCAGCGUGGAGUCGGUGAAUUGGGCAAGGAUCGUCUCUUCAUCGACUGGAAGCGCCGUCCAAACGCCCCCGAUCAUCUCCACUUCAUGACUAAUCAUCAUCUCCAUAAUAACUUGUACCGCUCUAAUAUUCAGUACCCAGCUGCUGCUUGGGAUCGUCCUCUCUUUUUGCAGCCUCCUGACCAAUCACAUUUACAAUAUUCCCUGGAACCUGCACCUGGCAGCAUGUCUCAGCAACAACAAUCUCACGGAUCCAGUCCUAAUUAUUACUAUGACACUUGUAAUUUCAUCAACAGCCGUACAACCGUGGUAAAUGGAAACCCUUGUCCGAGCGGAUCAGUAGUUUAUCUCAGAUCGGGGUCAGCCCAAGUUCCACAGCAGGCUGGGUUAAUGCAAUUAAGAGGUCACAGUAAUAGUAGUACUAGUGGCAGGGUUGUGGAGCCAGUGGUGUUCGACUCCGUACCAGUUGUUCAAGGCAAGGCAGCAGCAAAGCGAUUCAGGUUGUUCGGUGUGAAUAUGGACUGUCCCAUCUCAGACUCAUGUGAAAUCACGUCCUCAUCUUCUUCCUUGCCUAAUCCCGCAGCUACAACAACUUAUUCUCAUGUCCCCCAAUUUUCAUCAUUAUCAUUCAGGACUUUUAACGACUAUGAUACCAACCGGCCGGCAGCCACCGAAGAAGAAUCAUUUGACAAAGGUUCUUGUUCUUGUCGCUGCUUCACUGGGCACGCCCCCCAGGUACUGCGGUUGCUUCAGAUCUAGCUAGCUAGCUAGCUAGCUAGCUUUUAUAAAAGGGUUUGUCAUCUGAUCGAUUUUGAGCUUGGAUAUACAUACAAGAUUUUGCUGGUUUGAUAUUCCAAGUAAUUAAGCAUCUGUCUUAGUUUCCGUGAGGAUAUAUAAAUGAUGUCAAAAGGUACAAAGCACCUGACCUUUUCAAAGCAUUACAAGAAAAGAAUGAACAGUGUUCAAUCUCCACAAAUUGGAUCUCUGUUGAAAGCAUAACACAAAUUACAUAUUCAGAAAUGUGCAUACUUUAUCUGUAUUUCCAUUUAGGUAUAUUUGCAUGAAGAAUUGAACUUUUUUGGGCAUAUAUAUCUCUUUCUUCAAUUGUGUUUGGUUCUUUGAUCCAAUGUUAGUUUGAUAAAGGUUCCUUUCCUCGCUAGCAAACACCCAGUGCACUUUAACCCUGACCAGUGUACUGUACCGAAAUAGUUAUACUCUAUAAAUUUUUAGGCAUGGUCAUCCAAAUUGUCAUAGCUAUACGCUACCUUCAAAAAUGUAUAUAGUGAGCCCACCUUAAACAUAUCAUGUAAAUUCAACGAGAGAAGUAAUUAUAUAUAGAUGGCUCUAUUUAUGAAGGAGAGAGAGAGAAAAGAAUUUGAGGAGUAAGUCUAAAGCAUUUUUCUUACACACAUGUACCUUUUCGGCUAGGUUUAUAAUGGAUUUAACUCCUCUCCAUUACUUACCCUUUCUAUUUCCUCAAGUAUACACUUGGAUUGGAAAUAAUGUGUCAUGAUUAAAAACUAAAGGUGGAAAUUUUAAAAAAACAAAUAGAUCUUCAGCUUUAGUUUUUAAUUAUGACACAUGACUUCCAUCCAAGUGUAUAUUUGAGGAAAUAGAGAGAAUAAGUAAUCCGUUUUUGACGGGGCUAGUUAAAAGUUUCUAGUUUACUGGAAGGUCAUAUCAAUACGAUGAUAGAGAGAUUUUGAUCUCAAGUAAAAAAAUUAGCCCUUUUUCUUUAGUAUCAUCAAGUAUAAAUUUAUAUCAUAUGUAAAUUUAUUUCCAAACUUAGUUCUAUCCUUCGUCUUCAAGAGGAAUUUGAUCAUCCUAUGAAAGUGACAAGCCAGAAAGAUGUUAGGUGUAGAGUGCUACUCUACUAAUUAACUCAUACCAUCAACUUUAAUUAAUUACAUAUAUACAUAGAUGUCUUGACUGCAUCAAAAGGUGGUUUCUCAUUUUAAGUGCAUUCAAAAAACACCAUAUAUGCCUAUUUCUUGUUAGACUAAUGAUGUACACCAUAACUUGUGUUUUGACAUUUGUCAUAAUUGCAUUGGCUAAAGGAAGCACAAAUGCCUUCAUUCUCUAACGGUCUCUCAUGUACUCUGGUUUUCAACUACAUCUGCAAUGUUCAAUCUAUAUUUUCUGGAUGUGCAAAAUUUGUUAAUUAUGGUCACAUCAAACAUUGUUGUUAAUUCAAAUCUCAUUUUCAUUUUUCUGUUUAAAGAAAAACAAGGUCUAAACUACAUAUAUUCUUUAAGUCAUUUCGUUGGUUGUACCAUUGUUGAUAACUUUAUCUGACAAACAACUAUGACAUGUAGUCGUAAAUAGAGAAUAAAAUAGGGGUUUGUGGA